rnacentral:rRNA from 1 species
UACAGAGGUCCCAAGCGUUGUUCGGAUUCACUGGGCGUAAAGGGUGCGUAGGCGGUCAGGUAAGUCUGAUGUGAAAUCUCUGGGCUUAACCCAGAAAUGGCAUUGGAUACUAUUUGGCUUGAGAGUUGGAGGGGGGACUGGAAUUCUUGGUGUAGCAGUGAAAUGCGUAGAUAUCAAGAGGAACACCAGUGGCGAAGGCGAGUCCCUGGACAACUUCUGACGCUGAGGCACGAAAGCUAGGGGAGCAAACAGG